GUUUCUUCCUCUUGGAAACACGGGGACACCCACGCGUGUCUCACUGGUCGCUGGGAGAGCAGACAGCUUUGCCCACACUCUUUCUCUUUGCUUCUCCUCCCGUACCCCCCGCGUGGACCGUCUUCUGAUGCACAGUGGAUUCUUUCCCUGGGAAACUCGCUGCAGAUCUCACUUGCCCAGAAAAAUACACCUGUGGAGUCCUUGCUCUCGUGAAGGGCCUGGGGGGGGCCA
rnacentral:lncRNA from 1 species